AUAAGAAAAGGCCUACUUCCCAUGAGUAAACCUGCCCCGGAGAGACAGGAGGGGUGGCGUCAGCGCUGGCCGGCUUGCCCAGGCUGUCUAGCUGCCGGACGUCACGCUCCCUCUGCUAUUCUUUUCCUAUCCUCCUCGGUUCGCGCCGCCAUCGUGAAGGAAGGAAGGAAGGAAAAAAACUUUAUUUAAGCCCAGCACUAAGGCCCAGUAAAGUAGAGCGCCUGCCCCGCCAAGGCUCGUUGUUCAUCCUCCGAGUCCGAGUGAAGCCAAGCACUCCAGGAAGGAGGGGAAGGGUAAGGAAAAUGAGGAGAGGUAAUGGCAGUGUUACAUGAGUACAGAAUGUGUUCUGCACCUGCCCUUAUCUCCGGACAGUUGGGGCAGUGAGCUGUGCUACGCCAACCGAAGUUGUAGAGCAUUAGUGGCGUGAGAAGAGUGUUCGUUUGAACUUUACGAAGGACAUGUGCUUGUUCCGUGUUGAGUGAGGAGUGAGGUUGGGGCAAAAUAGUACGGUUUUCCUUGAUGUUCUUGUAGUGUUCAGUUAUUUGCGCUUUGUACGUGGCAGUGUCUUCCACUGUCGUUGGAUUUGGCCAGGGAAUCGAGGGCGCCCGGAGGUUAAUUUCGCGGGCACGUUGAUGAACCAACUCAUUUCCCUCGAUCCCAGCAUGACCAGGCACCCAACGCAGGGUGAUUGUAAUGUUCGGUUUGCGGUUACAGGAUUCUGUUAAGAUGUCAUGUAGGUGUGUUUCCAACAGUCGGUGUUGUAUGUUGCGAAUGGCUUUGCUGGAGUCGGUAUAAAGGUUGAUGUUACUGGAGUGGUGCUUAGUGAGUAGAAAGGCUUCUUGUAUGGCAUAUAUUAUCGCGUGAGUCUCAAGAGUGGCUAUGUUGGGAGGGUUGGAAAAUGGCCCAGCUGUUUGGAUGAUCGGUGCUGUCUGUCCAGGUGUAUACAUUGCAUACGCGUAUGACCCCAUGUUAGAGCGUGCGGCGUCCGUGUAUAUCGUGAUGCAUUUCCUGUCUAUAUGGUGAUGUUUUGCUUGCGCUUGACGUCGACCGUCAUGUAGGUGUGGCGUCAUAUUUUUUGGUAUGUUUGUAAAUGCAAUGUUGCGUGGUAGCGGAGGGCUUUGGUUAACUGGUGUUAACUGGAUAGGGGCGAUCCCUGCUCGUUUCAAGAUUUCGCAUCCUUGCUCCGUACAAGACAAUCGCGCUACUUGUCUGUCUCGGUGUUGUUGUGUUAGUUCUGCGAAAGUGUGAAAGAGGCCCGUUUGUUGAAGGCGAUCAUUUGGGGUGUAUAUCGGUAGGCCCAGGGCGGCCUUGUGAAGGGUGUUGAGUGAAGAUUCGAGUUUUCGAGUUUGUGUUUGUGUCAGUGUUAGGAAUGGGGCGGUGUACAGAAGCCUACUAUACACGAGCGCUGUCACGAGCUGUGUUGCUUGUCCUUCUCUCAGUCCGUGUUUUUUGCUAAUGAUCCUUCGCAUUAGGUGCGUGAGAUUUCGGCAGUCUUUUUGAUAUUGUAUAACGUUAGAAUUAGCAUUGUUGUUGUGAUUUAUGAUAAAUCCGAGUAUUCGGCACGAUGUAACCUUUGGUAUCUGCUUGCCUAAUAAGGUGAGUUGUAUCAGGGCGUUUGUUUUCUUUUGGUAAUGUGUUCGAUUCAUGAGGAGAAGUUCCGACUUUUCUGCUGAAGGUUCGAGUCCGGCUUUAUGUAAGUGGUUAACUAUGGUCUCGACGCCUUUUUGGAGGGUCGUUUCGACGUUCCCUGGAGAUCCGGUUUCGCACCAUAGGGUAAUAUCGUCGGCGUAGAAAGUGUGGUGAAGAUUAGGGAUUGUAGAUAGCUGUCUUGAGAGCGCUGUCAUGCAAAGAUUAAAGAGGGUGGGAGAUAUAAUCGAUCCUUGAGGUGUUCCACGGGAAAUAUUGAUGGGGGAGGAAAGAGACUGCGCUGCCUUGAAGUUUCCUGCCUUUGAGGAAACUGCGUAUGUAAUUGUACAUGUUGGCGCCGCAUCCACUGUCGUGAACAGAUUUGAGUACAUGAUCAUGUGUGACAUUAUCGAAUGCCUUUUUUAUAUCUAUUGCCAGAAGGGCUUGGGUCUGUGCGGUCUUUGGCUGCAGAAGCGUGUUCUGUAGUAUGAGAAAUAAGUCCUGUGUAGAAAUGUUCUUGCGAUAGCCUAUGAGCUGGUGCGGAAAAUGUUUCGUGUUAUCCAAAUGUUCUUCUAGUCUGUUUAGUGCAAGCCGUUCCAUUGUUUUUCCCAUACAUGAUGUUAAGGAUAUGGGUCUGAGGUUGCAAAGCGUGGCUUUUUUCCCUGGUUUUGGGAUCAUGGUAAUGUGUGAUGUUCUCCAUUCGUCUGGGAGGGUGCCCGUGUUUCAAUGCUCAUUUAUGUGCGAGAGAAGCGUUUCUUUAUCUUCGUCGGGCAGAUUACGCAGAAGAGUAUAUGUGAUGCCGUCAGGACCCGGCGCCGUCGCCCUAUUGUUUUGCAGCAAUGCUAUGUUUAGUUCUGCCAUAGUGAAGUCGGCACUGAUGUUGUCGUUUGGGGGGCCCGUAUAGUCUGUGUACAGUGACUGAUGUGCCGCAGGUAUGUAAAGGGUCCGAAGUUCAUCAAAUGUUUUGUUUAUACCUUGUGUACUGGCGUGUUUCUCUAUGGUAGGGAUCACUUGUUUCUUUGUGCCGAGCAGGGCUCGCAAAAGAUGCCACGUGUGUUUUUUGUCUAACGUAUUCUGGAUGCUAUCGCAAAUUUGGUUCCAUUCUGUCUGUUCGAGCGUCCGGGCAUGAUUGAUCGCUUGAAUAGUUAUAUCAUCUACCUUUCCACGAAGCUGAUUGUUAUGCGGUUGCUGGGAUAAGACUCUCAGGGUGCGAUCGCGCAAACAGCUCGCUUUUCCGUUCUCUCGCUUGCCCUCUCGUGAUUCGUUGGCGCCCGCGCGUUUCGUCACGGCGGCCAUUGCGCCGGGGCGGGACCACAAAAUGCGUUUACGUCACACUCCUGUCAAUCAUUCCAAAAGCGAGGGGAAACGGCCGCUUUCGUGGAACGGUCGACAAGGGCAUUCGCUUCGAAGAAUGAAUGGCCGUUGCCAUAGCAGCGCUAGUAGCAGACGAUGCGCCUGUCGUCUGCUCAUAAUGUCGUCGCUCGCCGAACAUGGCUGGCCCUGGCGGGGGUCGAGUUUUUCGAGAUUAAAACGCGAUCCGCCAUCGCCGAACGUUAGCGAUGUUAAUUAUUGAAAACAACUGUGAUCACAGUGAAAUUAAAUGCUGCGCCUGCGCUGUGAUAAAUAUAAAUAGUGCUGUUUUAAUUUUGAUUGAUCCGAGUGCAUUUGUCGAGAAUGCUCGCCGUUUCACGUUGUGCUCAGAGAAUCGCGUUCAUUGUUCGGCGGUUUGUUUGGUGCUCACGAGUCGCGAUGGCCGCUCCUAUUAUCGCGCUUUUGGAGUCGCUCGGGCAGCCUCGGCAACGCAUCUUUCGGGACGCAUUUGACGAGCUUACCGAGGAAGAGUUCCGCGACCACUUCAGGCUCUCGAAGCGCACUGUGCGCUGGCUCUGCGAGCAACUGGAAGACGCCAUCGGUGGCCUUCGGACCGGUGGCAUCACGACGCAAGAGAGGGUGCUUUGUGCUCUCCGUUUCUUCGCGACGGGGAGCUACCAAAGAUCCAUCGGCAGCGAAGAAUUCGUAUCGAUGGGGCAAGCUUCCGUGAGCGAAAGCAUUCACGCAGUUGCGGAAGCAAUAACCGUGGUGGGCCGGCAACAGGGCUGGGUAAGCUUCCCGUUGUCAACGGCCGGCAAGGCUACUGCAAAGGCGGCCUUUGCGGAUCGGGGCCGCAUUCCCGGUGUAGUGGCCUGCGUCGACGGGACGCUCAUAGCGAUCAAACAGCCCGAAGGACUCAGCCCGGGCGAGACCGCGGGCUUCAUGUCAAGAAAAGGCUUCUACGCCUUGAAUACCAUGAUCGUGUGUGAUGCCCACAUGCGCAUCGUGGACAUCGAUCCCCGUUUCCCCGGAUCGUGCCAUGACUCCUACGUGUGGAGGCACUCACCACUGUUAGGCCGCCUCACACGUAACCUGCGACGUGGAGAAUGGGUGCUUGGAGACUCGGGCUACCCUCUUGAGCCAUGGCUGCUGACUCCUGUGCCAGGCCAUCCAGGCAUUGACACUCCGGAGGGGCGCUACAACCAGGCCCAUGCCUCCAUGAGGAACGUUGUGGAGAGGGCUAUUGGCGUCUUGAAGGCAAGGUUCCGGUGCCUUCAAAGGUACCGGACACUCCUUUAUGAGCCCAAGGAUGCAGCAACAAUCGUGGCAGCCUGCGCCGCUCUCCACAACAUUGCUUUGAAGGCAGGGGAGCCGGAGCUGCAGGACAGUGAUGAGGAGGCUGAUGACAACCAGCCACCGCUGCAACAGGGCUUGCCUGUGUCUCAAGGGCACCACACCUGCCGGCAAGAAACGCCCAGAGAGCUGCUGAUGAGGGCGAAGCAGAUGAGGAGCCAGGUUGUCAACCUGUUCUCUGCGGCCCCUAGCUGGCGUACCACUCACCUGCGUAUGCUGCAUCGUCGGCUGAGGCAGCAACAGCAGCCUCGUCGUGCGGCUCAACCGUAAAGCCAGCCACUGCCUCCUGCAUCAGCUGGCCCAAGAGCUGUGAAAGCUGCCCCACUGGCCGCAGUGCCUCCGCUACUUGGUCGGCCUGCCGCUCCACAGCAGCCACGACCCGCUCAGUAGCUGCAGCCAGCCGGUCUACGCCCUGGCGGAUACCACGCAGGAGCUAGAAAUAAAUAAUUACAUCAGCAUCCAUUCCCGCACAAUCGGUCAAGCACCUCUACAGCAAAGUGACCUGCAUAACGAAAGAGCAGCGUCCCAGCGUCGGCCAUGGAGGAAGUGGCUCGCUUUCUUGCCUACCCGUGCGAGUACUCGAUUCGUGGCUGCACCGCUAAGCCAAUCCUGCGUGACAAACAGGAUCACGAGAAGAGGUGCGAUUACAGGCCCUGUCCCUGCUUAUUCACGGCGAAGGACUGCAAGUGGACUGGCACUUCAAAAGAUAUGAUGCCGCACAUCCGUGGAGCCCAUCCGAAGUUGUCCAUAGUCCUUGAAAAGGAAAGGGUUACGACCAGGGCCGGGCCUGCAGGCGGUGAAAUGAAAUGCAGGCGGUGAAAAGCCCGUGACCUCAGGUCCCGAUGUGUUAUCGCUGGUGGCCGAGAGCAUGGUUCCUACUUCACCGAAAUAUGGACGUCGUUCCUGACAUCGUUUUCUUAGGAAACAGCGAAAAAACAAAAAAAUGACUUGUAGUACCAUCAAACUUGGGAGGAAAAAUUUCCUCCUCCGCGUUCUCCUGACCGAUGGAAGUCACUCUUUGCUCAGCUCGGCGAGUAAGACCUCGAGCUUCGCGGUGUGCUACCUCAUUGAGGUUGACUGCGGGAAUGUCUGGAGUCGUAUGCGCUGAUUCGGCUUCCUGACACUCCGGGAGGAUGUGGAAGAUGGUCAGCCUCUCCCCGCAUCUACCACAGGUUGGAGGCUCAUUUCCAGUGGGUUGCACUGCACAAGCCGUGCCAAUCUCACCUGCCCCAUGGCCUGGUGAAGUUCCCGGAAAGCCGGCUCCGAGUCCUUGACAAAGGCUUUGCGUGACCCGUGGACAACAGCCGGCGGUCCAGUACAGUACACUCC